rnacentral:rRNA from 1 species
AACGAACGCUGGCGGCAGGCUUAACACAUGCAAGUCGAACGCCCCGCAAGGGGAGUGGCAGACGGGUGAGUAACGCGUGGGAACAUACCCUUUCCUGCGGAAUAGCUCUGGGAAACUGGAAUUAAUACCGCAUACGCCCUACGGGGGAAAGAUUUAUCGGGGAAGGAUUGGCCCGCGUUGGAUUAGCUAGUUGGUGGGGUAAAGGCCUACCAAGGCGACGAUCCAUAGCUGGUCUGAGAGGAUGAUCAGCCACAUUGGGACUGAGACACGGCCCAAACUCCUACGGGAGGCAGCAGUGGGGAAUAUUGGACAAUGGGCGCAAGCCUGAUCCAGCCAUGCCGCGUGAGUGAUGAAGGCCUUAGGGUUGUAAAGCUCUUUCACCGAUGAAGAUAAUGACGGUAGUCGGAGAAGAAGCACCGGCUAAACUCGUGCCAGCAGCCGCCGUAAUAC